AUUCGAUUUAGAUAUCAUUUAAUUAUCAGAAUGUAUGAAAUAAAUCAAUUGUUCAUCCUGCUAUUUGGUACCUAUAUCGUUGAUUUAUUUGUUAAAUUUAGAUGACUAAACGAUAUCCGAUUUGACAAUUUUUUGUUGGGUGGUCUUCAAAUGAAGAUUAGGAGAUUGAAUGAUUUUGAUUAUAAAACUUCUACAGUGAAGAUCAAUUAUUUACAGUUGGGGAAAUGAAUUCAUCCCCUCAAGGGGAACGCAAGUAUUAUCCUAGCAUUUUUUUUUUUCUAAAAAUAAACUAUGUGAUAAAAGGG
rnacentral:lncRNA from 1 species